rnacentral:rRNA from 1 species
CUAUACAUGACUCUGCGCAUAUCAAUAAGCGGAGGAAAAAGAAACUAACAAGGAUUCCCUUAGUAACGGCGAGUGAAGCGGGAAGAGCUCAAAUUUGAAAUCUUCAAGGUUUUACCUUGACGAAUUGUAGUUUAAAGAAGUGUUUUCUGUUGAAGUUUUGGUAAAAGUUCUUUGGAAUAGGACAUCAUAGAGGGUGAGGAUCCCGUAUUUGACCGUUACUUUCCAGCUGUGUGAUACACUUUCAAAGAGUCGGAUUGUUUGGGAAUGCAGUCCAAAAUGGGUGGUAAAUUUCAUCUAAAGCUAAAUAUUGGCGAGAGACCGAUAGCGAACAAGUACCGUGAGGGAAAGAUGAAAAGAACUUUGAAAAGAGAGUUAAACAGUACGUGAAAUUGUCAAAAGGGAAGCGUUUGACACCAGUGUUGUUUUUCCGAAAAUCAAUUACGAAUGUUUUAUUUUUGAGGAGUUAUGACUUCAUCGGCUUGCUCCUUUCUUUAUGAAACUUUCUUAAUGCACUUUUCGGUUAACAAGUCAACAUCAAUUUCUUUUGUUGUAAAAGGGUAUGAGGAAGGUGGCUUUCUUUUCGGAGAAAGUGUUUAUAGCCUUGUGCCUCUGCAAUCGGAGAGAUUGAGGUCUGCAGCGUAGAUCCUUCGGGGUUAGAUACGUUUGUGCUAAGUUAUAGCUUUUCAUAGACAACUUGUUGACUAUGUUUAGUCUUGUAGCUUACUCGCUUACGCUAUUUUACCUACGCUUAGGAUGUUGAAGAUAUGCGCGACACGGCCCUAUACAUGACUCUGCGCAUAUCAAUAAGCGGAGGAAAAGCCAACUACCUACGCUUAGGAUGUUGACACACGCGCGUGCUCGACUCUAUACAUGACUCUGUGCAUAUCAAUAAGCGGAGGAAAAGGCUGCGGAACUGAACGACCGCUACCUACGCUUAGGAUGUUGAAGAUAUGCGCGACACG